UCCAAGCGCUUAUGUGCUCAUGUGAAAAGCUCAACAAUGUAGAAGAACAUUCCAACACACUCUUCAUGUAGGCUGAAACCAAGCAAGGGAUUAGCGCUUAUUUAGAAAAGCUCUUGCAACGCGUUUUCGUUCUUUAACUUCGGCAUCUCUUCACCAUCAAUCGCGUUCUUCGUUCAACCAUGAAGGAACAAAUGUAAACACACUUUUCAAACAAAUCCCUCACGGCGACGCGUUCUCUAUUUCUUGGCUUGGCAUCAAUCACCGUCGCGGUUUAGUGACACUCCCCGAAUUCCCAACGUCAAUUCAACUCACUUCGUUAUCAUACGUGUGCACAAACAGAAGGAAAAUGGUGCCGAAAACGUACGAGAAUCUCACCGAUUGAAGCUCCGAUUGCAAACAGGAAUCUCCUCCUUUCUCCAUUUCAGUUCCUUCUUCUCAAACUCUUCUGCUACUUUGCGUUGAAUUCUGAUUUCGAAAAUGGUUGUUUACCUGUUUUGACUUUGCUAUCAUGGACAUGUUGUAAUGGAUCAUGCUUGAAGUAUGGAAUUGGAUCAUUGGCAUUUGGUUAGGGAAUGCUUGAGUUGAUCUUGUGUAGUUGUGGGGAUGAUCAUGGCAUGCUUUGACUUGGAUUAGGUGUUGGAUUUUUUGUAUGGUUCAUGGGAUUUUGAAUGGAAUUUGUGUAAUUUGUUAUGUUGGAAAUGUAUUGGAAUUGUAAUGUAAUGAACUUGUAAUAUUGUCAUGAAAAAAUGUUGUAACAAAUUUGGUUUGAAUGAAAUGAGUUACUGGUUUAUGUA